GUCCCAGCAUCGUGAGCCCAAAGACACCCCUCUCCCACGCAGAGGAGCCGAGGCACCGAGCAGCAAACGGCUCGGCUCACUCACACAGGAUCUGAUCAGAUCCCACGCACGUGGCCAGACGUCAGUUUGGACAUCUUCACCGGCUGUGACACAGCAACGCAGUGGCGUGGCUAUUUGGGGUCCUGCUGCCAUGCAAAGCGAGGGGAUUUGCUACGGGAUUCGUCCCCCCACCCGGGAGCUUCGCGGUGCUGCCUCUCUUCCCCCCGGUCCUUGUGUUUAUGGUCGCGGCGCCGCAUGGCUUUGCGCUUGCUUCAUGCUUGGAAGGCUCUGCCCGAGUUUGAAGAUAGCCUGAAACAAUAGCUCAGACAGAAGUGGAAACUGCCUGCUCAUCUCGACAGGGUGCUGAGCCUGAAACUUCCUGAUAAUUGAAAGUGCUAGCGCUGCUCAAGUGUUUCACAGCUGGAUGUUUACAGAAACCGUCAGCGAGCGAGCUUAUCCCACAAACCCCAAGUGCCGCGGGGCCAGCACUCCCAGCUGUCCUCUCCUGGCUCCCCAGCUCAAGGUUUUCAGCGCCCGGCCCCGCAGCGCGCUCCGGCCGUCAGUCACCGCUCGAGGCUGAUGGAAUCGCGAGCGCGUCGCGCCCAUACGUCCCCAGAUUGCCCAGGUGGGCGCAGGAACGAGGUGAAACGUGACAAAGCACGCUGUCCUCGAGGGGAAAGUGCAAAAUAAUAGGCAGCAAACCGCUGGCUUGUUUAGGAACACUUUUGAAGCAGGGCACGAGCGUGCCCUAAUAUAGCCAGGGACACGCAACGCACCGCGGCUCCGGCACAGAGCCCUGGUGAGCCAAGAGGCCGGCAGCGUGUCCUGCUAAGGACAGCCGCCACGCCCCAACCUCACGGCCAGCAUUAAUUACGAUUAAUUAACGGCGUCCAGCACCUCCGUCAGGUACCAGCAGAGUUAACUCUCCUGCCGCCCGGCCCUGCGCGGCGCCAUUGGACAGCGGCGGCAUCCAUCACGCCUCGGAAGUGACUGCGCGGGGAAGGCUGCUUUGCGCCAGUGUGUACACGGAAGGAGAGGGCAAGAGGCGCCGAGCACGCACCGCUCGCAGCAGCGAGCAAAGCCCAAGACCUCGUGGCCUGCUUUCGGCACGGCCGGUGAAACAGCCCACGAGGGAGGCGAGCAGCCCCGCCAGGAGCAGCAGCAACAGCAGCAGGAGGAGGAGGAAGGAGGCCCUCGUCGGGCACUUGGCGAGUCCAGAGGUCUCAGUUCCCCUCCCGGCCGUUUCUCCGUCUCACGCCACUUUUCUUCCCCGUCCCCGCCACCGCCACGGACGGGCUUUCCCCACCCCCGUUUCGGAGCAAACCCCAAAAUACCAGCACCAAAACUCCCCACCGACCCGCGCCCACGUGGCGGCCGUGCCCGCAGCCGGGGGGUCCCGGCAGCCCCUGCCCACGGCUGCGCCCACCCGUUAAGGAGCCACGCGUGGGGCACUCAGAGCCCCCCCCCGACCCCACCGAUAGGAAAACCCCCGGCCCCACAAAGCCUCCUGGCUUUGGACCCCCAGCACCGCACCAGCUUUAAUAGGGUGUAUUUUAAACACCGUUAAAAAUCCAGGCACCGGCUGCCCCGGGGGGGGGGGGCACAGGAUAAACCCUGUCCCUUAUACACACCUAG
ensembl:lncRNA